rnacentral:rRNA from 1 species
UACGUAGGGUGCAAGCGUUAUCCGGAAUUAUUGGGCGUAAAGAGCUCGUAGGCGGCGCGGAUAGUCGGCGGUGAAAGCCCGGAGCUCAACUCCGGGUCGGCCGUCGAUACUUCCGGGCUUGAGCACUGUAGAGGCAGAUGGAAUUCCGGGUGUAGCGGUGGAAUGCGUAGAGAUCCGGAAGAACACCGGUGGCGAAGGCGGUCUGCUGGGCAGUUGCUGACGCUGAUGCGCGACAGCGUGGGGAGCAAACAGG